CGACCCGGUAGGGCCCGAGGCCAAAAGAAAAGAACCGGGGAAAUUACCUACCCCACCCCACCCGUCCCGUCGCUCACUCGCGCGGGUGAACAUGGCCAACUCGGCUGGCAUAUACGGCAGUCGAUGGUGCAGCGUCAGCGGCGACAACCCAAGACAUGAAACGGCCCUCGCUGGGACUGGCAUCCCGGUGCGAGGGCCUGUUCACCAAGGAAGAGAGACGCUUCCUG
rnacentral:ncRNA from 1 species